UUUGUUUUACGUGCAGAAAUUGUUACCAUUUUCGGGCUCGAAAAUGGUAACAAUUUCCGCACGUAAUACAAA